ACGAGAUCUGCAGUUGCUUUUAAGGUGCUUUUCAAGCUCUGCAUGGAAGUUACCCUUUUACUUCCUUCACACAGUGACUGUAAUGAAUCUGAAAGCCUUCCUGAAUCCAUGCUUUGUCAAUGCCAGUGCGCAUCCAGAGUCAAGGGCACAGCUGAGAGCUCCUGGCCCCAGCAGCUGUCUAGGGGCAGCACAAAACCCUGCAGAGUGGAGAAGUGGCCAGCAUCUGCACUGCACAGGACCUCCCUCCCUUAUCUGCUGGCUGCAUGAGGGGGAGCAUGUGAAAAGGAGAGGAGGAAAGGCUGGCAGGGAGAGGCUGCCUGAGGGACCAGUGAACUCCAGGCUGUA